CCCUUAGAUGUUCUGGGCUGCACGCGCGCUACACUGAUGCACUCAACGAGGUUACGACCUUGCCCGAUAGGGUUGGGUAAUCUUUUUAAAAUGCAUCGUGAUGGGGAUAGAUUAUUGCAAUUAUUAAUCUUCAACGAGGAAUUCCUAGUAAGCGCGAGUCAUCAGCUCGUGCUGAUUACGUCCCUGCCCUUUGUACACACCGCCCGUCGCUCCUACCGAUUGAGUGCUCAGGUGAAUAAUUCGGACUGCAGCAAUGUUUGGAUCCCGAACGUUGCAGCGGAAAGUUUAGUGAACCUUAUCACUUAGAGGAAGGAGAAGUCGUAACA
rnacentral:rRNA from 1 species